CAUCAUUGAGCAAAGGCAAUGGGUCCUGAACCACUUGUUCUCUAUUGUUCACCUGCGUGGCAUUUCUUCUUUCUCUGGCAAGGCCAUGCUGUAUGGCUGUGUUCCAGAAGCAUUCUCUCCUGACGUUUCACCCACAUCUAUGGCAGGCAUCCUCAGAGGUUGUGGGGUCUGUUGGAAACUAGGCAAGUGGAGUUUAUGUAUCUGGAAGGUCCAGGGUGGGAGAAAGAGCUCGUGUCUGUUGGAGGCAAAUGUGAAUGUUGGAAUUGGCCACCUUGAUGCGCAUUGAAUGGCCUUUCAGCUUCAAAGCCUGGCUGCGUCCUGCCUGGGGAAUCCUUUGUUGGGAGGCAUUAACUGGCCCUGAUUGUUUCUUGUCUAGAAUUCUCCUGCCUGAGGCAAGUGUGAAUGUUGCAAUUGGCCAGCUUAGCAUUGAAUGGCCUUUCAGCUUGAAAGCCUGGCUGCUUCCUGCCUGGGGAAAUCUUUUGUUGGGAGGUGUUAGCUGGCCCUGAUUGUUUCCUGUCUGGAAUGCCCCUGUGUUCUGAGUGUUGUUUUUUUUUUUUUUACUGUCCAGGUUUUAAGAGUUUUUCAACACUGGUAGCCAGGUUUGGUUCAUUUUCAUGGUUUCCUCCUUUCUGUUGAAAUUGUCCCCAUGCUGCUGGAUUUCAAUGUGGGCAAAACGUCAGGAGAGAAUGCUUCUGGAACAUGGCCAUACAGCCCGGACAACUCAGGGCAACCCAAUGACUCCGGCCAAGCCUUGGAGAAGACAUCGUCGCUAUUGCGUGGGGCUCACUUUCGGGCCAGGUUUCCUUAUGGAGCGGGGUUGCCAGCCCUCGCCUUCCUCUGAGGCCGAGAGAGCGUGACUGCCCAGGGCUCUUCCUCCUGGUUCCCAAAGGCUGAGGGGAGGGAGGAGGGGAGGAGGGAGCCACAAGGGCCCCACCCGAGGCCCCCCCACGGCCCCCCUCCUUCCCCGCCCCCCUCAAGCCUUCUCGCCCUCACAUCUCGCGAGAUCCUGCCACGAAGGGCGGGAUCUUUGGGCGGGACACCGUUGAAGAAAGCGGCGCCAAGGAGAAGCUCUGUCUGUCUGUCUCUGUCUGUGUGGCGCUGAGGUCCAAGAAGAUCCAACCAGUCCAUCCUCCAGGAAAUGAUGCCCAUCUGCUCACAGGAGGGAAAGAUACUAGAGGCAAAGAUGAAGUAUUUUGGCCACAUCAUGAGAAGACAGGAGAGUUUGGAAAAGAUCAUGAUGCUGGGGAAAAUGGAAGGAAAAAGGAAGAGAGGCCGACCAAGGGCAAGAUGGAUGGACAGUAUCCUUGAAUUGACUGGUAUGAACUUGAAGCACCUGGGGGCUGCGAUGGAUGACUGGGAGCUCUGGCAUGGACUGGUCCAUGAGGCCACAAAGACUGUGUGAAUGAAGAAGUAGUAGUCCAGCUGUUAAAGGAGGAAAAACACAUAUAAAGGAAACUCAAAAACCACCAAAACCAUGCAAAGCAGGUGACAUCUUUAAAACAGACCUAUGAUCAGGAAAAAAUGCGGUUUUCAUGAAGAGUUUGUUCAUUAUCUUAAAUAUGCCUUAAUAAUCUACAAACGGGAACCUGGAGUGGAACAAGUGAUUAAUUUUGUGGCCAAGUUCAUUGCUUCCCUUUAUGAGCCAUUAGAAGAUGAAGAGGAAGAAACAGAAAAUUUGCUUCUGAAUUAUUUGUUCUGCUUUCUGCUUGAGGUACUUUACGAAAAUCUGAUAAUGGAUAGACAUUUUGGUAAU